rnacentral:rRNA from 1 species
UACGGAGGGGGCUAGCAUUGUUCGGAAUUACUGGGCGUAAAGCGCACGUAGGCGGCUUUGUAAGUUAGAGGUGAAAGCCCGGAGCUCAACUCCGGAAUUGCCUUUAAGACUGCAUCGCUCGAAUCAUGGAGAGGUGAGUGGAAUUCCGAGUGUAGAGGUGAAAUUCGUAGAUAUUCGGAAGAACACCAGUGGCGAAGGCGACUCACUGGACAUGUAUUGACGCUGAGGUGCGAAAGCGUGGGGAGCAAACAGG